GGCUAUUUGGUCUUUUAUCGCCAUUACACAAAGCUUUCGCUUACAUUUUUAACAUCCUCAACUCUACUCAGGGUUUCCUGAUUUUUUCACUUCACUGUGUGCGAAACAGCCAGAUUAAAGAGCGGUUCAACAGAAAAGUCAACACUGUUUUUCCAUCUGUUAACAAAGGAAAUUCUACAAAGAAGAGCUCACAGGUUAAUCUUAGUGAUGUUGGAGAUGCAAGGGGAGUUGAACUGGGGUCUUAUCAUUAAUAUGAACUGAAAAAACACUCAACUUAGGAAACGGGUUUAGGACAGGUUGAGAAUUGGAGUAAAUGUUUGUAGAGUGGCAGUUGUUCCUGACAAUUGUGUCAGAUAGUCUAAUCCAUAUUAAGCCAGCUUUCUAGAGUCAUCCGCCUUUAGCGUUGUCUAAGUUCUCAACUAGAUGCUAAUAGCUUCUCUUGAUGGAAAAUGAGUACCUCUAGCCUAUAAAAGGUGUUAACGAUAUACAAACUCUUUAGAAAAGGAUAUUAUUGAUAUUUGUGUCAACGUGUCUAACCU